ACAGCAGUCGCCACGGUAAUACAGAGGGUGCAAGCGUUAAUCGGAAUUACUGGGCGUAAAGCGCGCGUAGGUGGUUUGUUAAGUUGGAUGUGAAAGCCCCGGGCUCAACCUGGGAACUGCAUCCAAAACUGGCAAGCUAGAGUACGGUAGAGGGUGGUGGAAUUUCCUGUGUAGCGGUGAAAUGCGUAGAUAUAGGAAGGAACACCAGUGGCGAAGGCGACCACCUGGACUGAUACUGACACUGAGGUGCGAAAGCGUGGGGAGCAAACAGGAUUAGAUACCCCAGUAGUCCCUGUCUCUUAUAA
rnacentral:rRNA from 1 species